UCUUUAAAUAAUUAUGAAAUUGUCUCCUAUUUUCUUGCAGGUUUAGGGACCGAAUAUGAUCCCUUUGUCACGUCUAUGACAACUUGUGUGGAUCCUCUACCUCUUAAUGAAUUGUAUGGACAUCUUCUAGC